UUUGCAAAAAAAUAAAUAAAAUGAUUUCUAUUCAAAACAAAAUUUGGUGGUGGCGCAACUUACGUUUUAAUAAAUCGUGAGCAAAGCUGCUAUGUCAAUAUUUUAAUCAAAAUAUAAUAAAAAGGCUUGUC
rnacentral:ncRNA from 1 species